AUUGAACGCUGGCGGCAUGCCUAACACAUGCAAGUCGAACGCCCCGCAAGGGGAGUGGCGAACGGGUGAGUAACGCGUGGGAACCUACCCAGCAGUUGGGGAUAACCGCGGGAAACUGCGGCUAAUACCGAAUACGUCCUAAGGGAGAAAGAUUUAUCGCUGUUGGAGGGGCCCGCGUCGGAUUAGCUAGUUGGUGAGGUAACGGCUCACCAAGGCGACGAUCCGUAGCUGGUCUGAGAGGAUGAUCAGCCACACUGGGACUUAGACACGGCCCAGACUCCUACGGGAGGCAGCAGUGGGGAAUAUUGGACGAUGGGGGCAACCCUGAUCCAGCAAUGCCGCGUGAGUGAUGAAGGCCUUAGGGUUGUAAAGCUCUUUUACCGGGGACGAUGAUGACGGUACCCGGAGAAUAAGCCCCGGCUAACUUCGUGCCAGCCGCCGCCGUAA
rnacentral:rRNA from 1 species